rnacentral:rRNA from 1 species
CAUGCAUGUCUCAGUGCAAGCCAAAUUAAGGUGAAACCGCAAAUGGCUCAUUAAAUCAGUUAUGGUUCAUUAGAUGAGACUAUUUUUUACUUGGAUAACUGUGGUAAUUCUAGAGCUAAUACAUGCAAACAGAGUUCCCACCGGUGACGGCAGGAACGCUUUUAUUAGAUCAAAAUCAAUACGUUCGUUUCAUGUCUCUCUCCCCCUUUUAAAGGGGGGGUGGGGGCACAUGGCGUUCGAUUCCAUUGGUGACACUGAAUAACUUUAUGAUGAUCGCAUGGUCCUGGUACCGGCGACAAAUCUUUCAAAUGUCUGCCUUAUCAACUGUCGAUGGUAGGUUCUGCGCCUACCAUGGUGAUAACGGGUAACGGGGAAUCAGGGUUUGAUUCCGGAGAGGGAGCCUGAGAAACGGCUACCACAUCCAAGGAAGGCAGCAGGCGCGCAAAUUACCCACUCCCGGCACGGGGAGGUAGUGACGAAAAAUAACGAUACGGGACUCAUCCGAGGCCCCGUAAUCGGAAUGAGUACACUUUAAAUACUUUAACAAGUAUCCAUUGGAGGGCAAGUCUGGUGCCAGCAGCUGCGGUAAUUCCAGCUCCAAUAGCGUAUAUUAAAGUUGUUGCGGUUAAAAAGCUCGUAGUUGAGAUUGUGUCCCGCACUGUCGGUGCGCCGUUAAAGUGUUUACUGACAUGCUGUGGGACGUCCUGCCGGUGGGAUUGUUACCUCCGUUUAUCUCUAACCGUGUUGUGUGUAAUUUCUUCCUCCCAUGGGCGCUUGUGCGCGCAUUAUUCCUUUAUAAUUUUAAUUAAUUAAAAGGGGUGUGUGCGUCUUGUGUUUUCUCAUUGGCGAUGUGUUGAAUUACUACAUUAAUACGUGUCCUGGGUGCGGAUCAGUAACUAUCUCUUGUCACCCAUCGCGGUGCUCUUUACUGAGUGUCGUGGCGGGCCGGCACGUUUACUUUGAACAAAUUAGAGUGCUAAAAGCAGGCCUCACGCCUGAAUAUUCUGUGCAUGGAAUAAUAGAAUAGGACCUCGAUUCUAUUUUGUUGGUUUUCUGAAUCCGAGGUAAUGAUUAAGAGGAACGGACGGGGGCAUUCGUAUUGAGACGUUAGAGGUGAAAUUCUUGGAUCGUCUCAAGACGAACAGAAGCGAAAGCAUUUGCCAAGAACGUUUUCAUUAAUCAAGAACGAAAGUUAGAGGUUCGAAGGCGAUCAGAUACCGCCCUAGUUCUAACCAUAAACGAUGCCAGCUAGCGAUCCGCCAAAGUUCCUCCGAUGACUUGGCGGGCAGCUUCCGGGAAACCAAAGCUUUUGGGUUCCGGGGGAAGUAUGGUUGCAAAGCUGAAACUUAAAGGAAUUGACGGAAGGGCACCACCAGGAGUGGAGCCUGCGGCUUAAUUUGACUCAACACGGGAAACCUCACCAGGUCCUGACACCGGAAGGAUUGACAGAUUGAGAGCUCUUUCUUGAUUCGGUGGGUGGUGGUGCAUGGCCGUUCUUAGUUGGUGGAGUGAUUUGUCUGGUUAAUUCCGAUAACGAACGAGACUCUAGCCUGCUAACUAGCCGUAAAUAACCGGUAUCAUAUGCUUCCGGCGGUAUAAAACUCUUCUUAGAGGGACAGGCGGCUUCUAGCCGCACGAGAUUGAGCAAUAACAGGUCUGUGAUGCCCUUAGAUGUCCUGGGCCGCACGCGCGCUACAAUGAAGGUAUCAACGUGUCUUCCCUGACCGAAUGGUCCGGGUAACCCGCUGAACCACCUUCGUGCUAGGGAUUGGGGCUUGCAAUUGCUCCCCAUGAACGAGGAAUUCCCAGUAAGCGCGAGUCAUAAGCUCGCGUUGAUUACGUCCCUGCCCUUUGUACACACCGCCCGUCGCUACUACCGAUUGAAUGAUUUAGUGAGGUCUUCAGACCGGUACGCGAUAGCAUUAUUCAUUUUAAUGCUGCCGAUGUUAUUGGAAAGAUGACCAAACUUGAUUAUUUAGAGGAAGUAAAAGUCGUAACAAGGUUUCC